rnacentral:rRNA from 1 species
GAUGAACGCUGGCGGCGUGCCUAAUACAUGCAAGUAGAACGCUGAAGGAGGAGCUUGCUUCUCUGGAUGAGUUGCGAACGGGUGAGUAACGCGUAGGUAACCUGCCUGGUAGCGGGGGAUAACUAUUGGAAACGAUAGCUAAUACCGCAUAAGAGUAGAUGUUGCAUGACAUUUGCUUAAAAGGUGCAAUUGCAUCACUACCAGAUGGACCUGCGUUGUAUUAGCUAGUUGGUGAGGUAACGGCUCACCAAGGCGACGAUACAUAGCCGACCUGAGAGGGUGAUCGGCCACACUGGGACUGAGACACGGCCCAGACUCCUACGGGAGGCAGCAGUAGGGAAUCUUCGGCAAUGGACGGAAGUCUGACCGAGCAACGCCGCGUGAGUGAAGAAGGUUUUCGGAUCGUAAAGCUCUGUUGUAAGAGAAGAACGAGUGUGAGAGUGGAAAGUUCACACUGUGACGGUAUCUUACCAGAAAGGGACGGCUAACUACGUG